CAGCUGCUGCAGCAACACUGCAUGAUUCCUUUUCUAAUAGAUUGCAUCUUUUUAGUGACCUUCAAGUGAAAGGUUUUACAAGAUGCAUCUCACCCUUCCAAAUAGACAGCCUGGACUUGAUUGGGAAUUGCCAAAAUUGCAAUCCAAAGAAGACCCAUAGUAUGUCUGCUAUUGUUGUCUCUGCUGUUUCCACUAACUUUCCCUUAAUUGGCUUAAACAAGGGAGAAGAGUUCCUCUCUUCCUCCACUUUCCUUUAAAACUUGACAGGUCAGGCAGCAGGCCUAUUAUCCUCUUUCAGACUUCGUUUAAACAAAGCAAGGUCCAGCUAAAUAUCAUCUAGAAGGCAGUGGUGCCUCUUGAUGGAGGAAAGACUGCAGACUAAUGGAGGCUUGUAAUUUUUUCUCUUCAACAUUCUUAGGAUAAUCUGCUGCUAUGUUUGCCAGAUUUCCAUGGGAGGAGGGGAAGUGCUAUUCUGAAUAGAGGUCCAUCCCAUUUUUCAAAGACAAAAUAUAUUUUUAGUGCUGGGAGGGAAUUCAGAUCCUUCAUGGAGGAGGAGGCAUUUUAAGGACAGGAAUUCAGGUAUAGAAAAACUGCUGUGACUAGGAUGGUGCUUGAGUUGCUCUCAGGAAAACCUUCCACUUGCUUGGCUUUUCCAGAAGAUUCCAUGUAAGCUGGGAAACUCCACACCCUUGUGAUCUUUCUCAGGUUAGGCAGCUUUUUCAUAUUACCAAGCAUGUCAGGAAAGCUGUGGAAUGGAAGGACCCUGUCUGUAUUUGUUCACAGCAAUCAUCUUGCCAGAACUGGAGGAUGCUGGAAAAUCUUGUAUUGCUCAGCUGAGCAAAAACAUACUGCCAGCAUUGGAGACAUGUAAGGAAGGUGACACAGAACAGAAAUUUGGGAAGAACUUCUGGAUCUGAUUUUUUUUUUUUUUAGCCCUUUUCUGUUUUGUGGGGUAUGGCCCACUGAUUAUUGUCCUCUAAAAUUUUAUUAUUUAACAAGUUUCUGUGUCAGGAGGUGGGAAAUUGGUAAUGUUUUAUUUCAUCUGAUUCUCUUUUAAUCCUGUAUACUGGCCUUCAGCUUGAUACAGGGUUCUCCAAUGUUUAGAAGGGUAAUUGUGGGGGGAAACUGAUGUUCUGCAGAUCUUCACAAACUACCUGUAUAUUGAGAGGUUGCUUGCUAUCACAGUUGAUCCCAUCCAAUCUUAUCACCUGAAUUUUCUCAGCAGUUUGGAGGAAAAGGGCAGUUUGCCAGCUGAUAUUCUUAUAGCUUCCCAAAGAUGAAAAAUCUGUUGACUUCAGCAGAGCUGCUAAUAAAAGUCCCUUUCCUGACAGGACUAAGAGUUGCACUAGGAAGCUUUCUUGCAACAUGAGAAAUUAAGGAAACCUGAAGUUGGAUGACAUGUGAGUCAAGGUCACGAGACAGAAGUGGAAGCGGAUCUCAUAAACUCUUGCUCUUUCCUUCACAGCAAGACUAUCUUCAUCUUCCAAGUUAUCUUGGUAGCUAUGCUGUUAUCUGAUGAUAAGAGGAUUAAAUUAGAUCACCUUAAGUUUCCUAUAGCAUGAACAUGUAUCGUUCAAUCUACAAAAAUCUAUAGGAUAAAAACCUGCAAAACAGUAUAAAUGUCGAUUGCUACGUGGGGCUGUUCACCACUAAAGUAUCAGGAGUGUUGAGUAUAUCCACUGUAACACAGGUCAUUGUUAUGUCACGAUUUCUUGCUUACUAGAGCAAAAUAAAAUUUAAGGGAUAGUGUAACUUGCUUGUGAUAAGAAGCUAGAACGGAGCUGCUGAAUCUAAUUUUAGACUGAGAAGCAUUUAAGUAUGAUUCCUUGAUGGAAAUUUUGUUGAAAAAAGCCAGCAAAAGCUAAACAUUUUAAUCUGGUGCUGGACUGCUCCAAAGAGUUGAGGAAGUUCCUGGAGUGGCACUAGUUUUGAGCUUCUUAACUAAUAUAAUUUAGGUGGGGCCCCCGAAACCAAAUCUUAAUAUAUUUCAGUUAAAAUGCAUACAGAAAUACAGUGUAUGUGAUACUGUUUUGUGUUGUUGUAGUUUAGCAUAUUUGCUACACUGAAAUCUUUCUAAAACGAAUAAAAACACCUACUUCCUAACCUUCCUUUA